UCAAAGAAGCCUGGGCUUGCACCUCACCCCUCCCCGCUUCCCGCGAUGGCCGUGAGGGGGCGCUGCGGCACCGCAAGUCGCUUCCGGGCAUGGAGAGGGCGGGCCCGGGAGUAAACCGGAACCUGAUGGCGGGUUCCGCCCUCGCGCUGGGGAGGAGUCCCGGAGCAGCGCUGGAGCAGAAGCCACUCUCACACCCUCCUCGCCCUCCCCACCGACAUCAUGCUCCAGUUCCUGCUUGGAUUUACUUUGGGCAACGUGGUUGGAAUGUAUCUGGCCCAGAACUAUGACAUGCCAAACAUGUCGAAAAAACUUGAAGAGAUUAAAAAGGACCUGGAAGCCAAGAAGAAACCGCCUAGUUCCUGACACUGCCAGGCACUG